GUCUACGGCCAUACGUAGGCGAAAACACCAGUUCCCGUCCGAUCACUGCAGUUAAGCGUCUGAGGGCCUCGUUGGUACUAUGGUUGGAGACAACAUGGGAAUCCGGGGUGCUGUAGGCU
rnacentral:rRNA from 1 species